AAAUUCCCCAGCAGCAAAGAAGGAAGAAGGAGCAAGGUGUAUUAACACCUUGAAAUAUCCAGGGAACACAAAGAUAUGAUUGAAUUUCCUCUCCAAGCUCUUCCAAUCAGCUCUGCCAGAUACAAGGCAGUUUUUGGACCAGAUCAUCCUCCUGAAAUUAGCAUAUGGAAAGAAUCCUCCUCACAAA